CCUACGGGAGGCAGCAGUGAGAAAUAUUGGUCAAUGGACGAGAGUCUGAACCAGCCAAGUAGCGUGAAGGAUGACUGCCCUAUGGGUUGUAAACUUCUUUUAUAUGGGAAUAAAAUGUUCCACGUGUGGGAUUUUGUAUGUACCAUAUGAAUAAGGAUCGGCUAACUCCGUGCCAGCAGCCGCGGUAAUACGGAGGAUCCGAGCGUUAUCCGGAUUUAUUGGGUUUAAAGGGAGCGUAGGUGGAUUGUUAAGUCAGUUGUGAAAGUUUGCGGCUCAACCGUAAAAUUGCAGUUGAAACUGGCAGUCUUGAGUACAGUAGAGGUGGGCGGAAUUCGUGGUGUAGCGGUGAAAUGCUUAGAUAUCACGAAGAACUCCGAUUGCGAAGGCAGUUCACUGGACUGCAACUGACACUGAGGCUCGAAAGUGUGGGUAUCAAACAGGAUUAGAUACCCGAGUAGUC
rnacentral:rRNA from 1 species